AAAGAGGAGGCAAGCGUUGUUCGGAAUCACUGGGCUUAAAGCGCGUGUAGGCGGCUUAGAAAGUGUCGUGUGAAAUCCCGCGGCUCAACCGCGGAACUGCAAGGCAAACUACUUGGCUUGAGUUCGCUAGAGGUGCCUGGAACUCGAGGUGGAGCGGUGAAAUGCGUAUAUAUCUAAAAGAACGCCGAAAGCGAAAGCAGGUCACUGAAUCGAUACUGACGCUGAUACGCGAAAGCGUGGGGAUCAAACAG
rnacentral:rRNA from 1 species